GCGAAGCGGGAAGAGCUCAAAUUUGUAAUCUGGCACCUUCGGUGUCCGAGUUGUAAUCUCGAGAAGUGUUUUCCGCGCCAGACCGCAUACAAGUCUGUUGGAAUACAGCGUCAUAGUGGUGAGAACCCCGUAUAUGAUGCGGAUGCCUGGUGCUCUGUGAUACACUUUCGAAGAGUCGAGUUGUUUGGGAAUGCAGCUCAAAUUGGGUGGUAAAUUCCAUCUAAAGCUAAAUAUUGGCGAGAGACCGAUAGCGAACAAGUACCGUGAGGGAAAGAUGAAAAGCACUUUGGAAAGAGAGUUAACAGUACGUGAAAUUGUUGGAAGGGAAACGCUUGAAGUCAGACUUGCUAUUUGGAAUUCAGCCGCAAGGUGUAUUUUUCAAUUUGCAGGCCAGCAUCAGUUUUCGGGGGUGGAAAAGGAUUAGGAGAAGGUAGCAGUCUCGGCUGUGUUAUAGCUCUUAAUUGGAUUCAUCCCUGGGGACUGAGGAACGCAGCUUCGGCUUAGGAUGCUGGUGGAAUGGCUUUAAACGACCCGUCUUGAAACACGGACCA
rnacentral:rRNA from 1 species